CCUGCUCCCCCUGCCUGUCCUUGUCCAGGGUCUGGGGGGCAAUCCCACCCUCUCUGUCCCCUUGGCAGUGCUUUAUACCAGGGACCAGGCCCAGCCUGUGAGUUCCAAAGUACUGGGUCUUAUAACUCAGCAGGCUGGCUUUUCAAGACUACUGUCCCUGCUCUGUGAGAAUGAAGCGAGCUAUCUGGGAAUUCCACGCUUUUUGUGUCUCCAUUCUUCUGGGCUGGUCUUCUCUCGAAGUCCAAUUCUAAUAGUCAGGAAUCCAAUGUUAAUAUAUCAAUCAGCUACCUCAGCAUGGGAAGUAGCCACGGAAAGAUGGAGACAGAGAGAAAUGUGGCCUGGUGGAGAUACAGGAACAAACUGGGUUAAUCAGAAAUGGAAAUGCAGAAAUCUACUCCAUCUGCUUAAAACCCACAGGAUGGAGAGAGAGCUCCUCAUGGUAGCCCAUACGAGUAUCCAGGCCUUCAUACUAGCUUCAAAAUUAGGUAAACAGUGGAUUCCUAAGCUUUAGUGGAUUGUUUUCUGUUUUUUUUUUUUUUUUUGCCUCGAGCCCCACAGGAUGUAUAAGUUGGGGUAUGGGGCCAACAUCCCAAAUGGAGUGCCGACCCCCAUUCCCUGGUUCUGGGAAGAGGCAGAGGAAAUCCUCCGGCACUAAGCAAGCAAACAAACACCCACCCAAACAAAACAACACGACAAGCCCCACACUGAAAACUUUCCACUUGCAAACAUGUUUUUGUCACUGCCAAACGUUUAGGAUUGCAACAUUUUGGCGUCUUUGGCCCCAAACCCGAGGACUCUGCCGUUUUCCCAAAGCACCUAAAAUAAAGAAUUCCUUUUGGCAAAAACAGUGUGUUUGUAAACAGCAAGGCUUUAUUUUCGAGAAACUCAAUUCCCCCUUAGAUGUAGAGUAUUUGGAAUAAAACCCCGGCAGCUAUUUUCCGUCUGCUUCUCCCAUUCCAGAUUGUCACUGGCAGGUAGAAAAUAUCUCUUGUUGGUGUGUGUGUGUGGUUUCCAUUAACUGGGUGUGUGUCUGGAAUUUGUGCUUGUCGGCCAGUUACUGAUUGCCUUCUGAUGCUUCUUGGGAGGGAGCUCCACAGAUGAGGUGCUGGAUUCUUCCAGACUCUGGCUUUCUUGUGCCCCAGGAUCCUGAAACUCGGAGCUUCCCAGAGGCUUCUAUGAUCUUUUCAACAGCAAGCUGUGUUCACCAAGCUGCUGGUUAUUCUCUUGGUGACACGGAAGACCGCGUUCCAGGCCUCCUCAUUCUCCAUCAGUUGGAUGUGGUCCAAGAAGAACUCUCAGGUCCAGAGGAUGGUGGAAUCACCAGGGGGAAGGAGCCAGCAUGCCUGAAUCACUUGUGAAAGGCCACCACUGAAUGUCUGAUAAGACUGUGGUGAGUGGGACAUAAACCUUCAUCAGGCUAAGCUGCUGAGAUUUAGGGUUGUUUUUUACAGUACUUAGACUGCCUGACCCAUACAAGGUGGCUACAAAAUCUGACUUUCCAAUGGCUGGGAUAUUCUCCUUUUCCUCUGCCUAGACUUCCUCCUCUACAAAAUGGGACACUGAGAAUGCUUGCAUCAAAGGAAUCAUGGAACAGUGCCUGAUACCCGUACCACCCUUACCAGAAUACUCUUACUACUACUGCUAUUAUCUCUUUUGGAGCCCACCACCCCUAUCCCUGCUGCAGAGCCAUCUUUUGGGAGGAGGAAGCCCAUGAACUGGGUUCACUCAUGUGCCUGCAGUCUGCUGCUGAGUUGGCUGGGCCUGGCUCAUCUAGGAUGGGAUCAGAUGGGACGGCAAGUCUCUGCUCCACCUGGUCUCUCAUCCACAGCUUUUGAAGGAUUCCAAGAGGUGGAAGUAUGCAAGAACCUCCUGAUGCCUGUGCCCCAGGUUGCAGACCGUCAUUUCUACUUCACUCUUUUGCUGAAAUGAGUUACAACAACCCAGAUUCAAGCGGAUGGAUCCGUGCCAGAGAAAGGCUGAGGCUGACUCUGCUCCUUUCCUGGCCAGCUGACCUUGGCUUCCCGAUGGGCCACCGCGAGGGCCUCCCAUCCGAGUCUCUGGCAAAGGCAAACUCGUUCCUGUGAUUUAGGGACCUGAGAAAGCUCUUUAACAGGAAACCUCUUCCCUACUGCUACCUCUGAAAUUUCACCAUAAAAGCCUCAUGGAUGACUGUCUACAGACUCCCUCCAACCUUGUUAAAAAUUGUGGUAAAAUGCCCAUAACAUAAAAUUAACCACUUUAAAGGGAGGAACGCAGUGGCAUUACGUACAUGCACAACGUCGUAUAACCGCCCCUCUGUCUAGUUCCAAAACAUUUCUUCACCCCAAAAGGAAGCCCUGUACCCACUAAGCAGUCAUUCGCCAUUUGUCCUCCCUCCAGCCCUUGGCAACCACUGGUCUGCUUUCCAUGUCUACGGAUCAGCCUAUCCUGGGCAUUUUAUAUAAAUGGAACCAUACAAUAUGCGGUCUUUUGUGUCUGGCUACUUUGACUCAGCAUCGUGUUUUUAAGGUUCAUUCAUUUUUAUGCCUGAAUCCAAAUGCUCAUCAGUGGAUGGAUGGACAAACAAACUGUGAUGUAUUCACAUCAACUCCUUUUAAAUAAUUUUUAAAUGAUCUCCUCAAAUGGAAGAGAUAACUCAUAGGACCACUGCCACCCUUAUCUUCCUUUGAAUGAGAUUAUUGUGAAAUUGCUUUUUACCAAAAAGACUAGGUAAACUGCAGGAUAGAGGGGACUUUCAACUACAGAAAGAUGGUAGAAGGAUGAGGGGUGGGAAAGCCAAUGACAGUUUAGCAGAGGUCUGACUCUGGUUUGAGACCUAGGAAGUCAUUCCGGUGGGCUCUCUCUGAGUAAGCAAAACAUUACAUCACUGAGUGUAGGCUCAAAACAUGUACAUCUUUAUUCUCAGAGAUCAGUGUGCAGAAAAGGUUCUGGAGGAAAGAUCUGCCUUGUUUUCAUCCAGUACGCUUCUGCACCACGUCUUCCCUGGCUGAGUACUUUAACUGCAGAGCACGUAACCUCAUCAGCCCCAAGUGGGUGUACAUGGUGCCGGCUGACCGAAGCUGCUCCUCUGCGAUGGCCUGGUGAGCACAUUUCUGCAGUAGCACCAUCUAUACUGGGUUAGGUUGACUUUCCAUUCCUCAUGUGGCACGAUAAAAUACCUUUGGGAGGAAAUAGUCCACGACUCAAGGAGACAGAUUUCCCUCUUCAUCUGCGUUGGGAGUUAAUUUGCUGGCAAUUAUGUGGCUUUACCAUACACUUAGAGUCUCACUCAUUUACAUUCCAGGAAGAAGGAUGACUCUUUAUUACUUUUUUAUUUAAAUUAUUGAUGCUGAAAACCAUGAGCCAUUCAUUUCCUGCUUUCUCUACAUGGGUAAUUGACUAAUUCAGACAGGUGUGGGUUUGAGAAAACGGUUGAGUUGGCAUGAUCUGAUCGCUGUGGGGGCCACGCUGUUAAUUUGCACAGAGAUAAUUGUCAGUCAUGUGAGAGUCAUCACCGUGUUGGAGCACACAGGUGGCUCCCUGUGCACAGCUAUUUUCUCUGGAUGCCCAUGCCAGGCUUGGGGUGUGGGUUAUCUCUAUAUACGCACAGGCAUCUCUAGUGCACUUAGAUCUUUUACUCUACCUGCUCUUGCUAAUGUACUUCCUGUAGUCAUCCAGCUAGUGGCAGCAUCUUGUACCACGUUCUGCUUGUAAGCAGUCUGUUGUUAGGCAGACCAAACAGAAACAGCCACAAAGAGAGGAUGGGCCGAGUUCAUAUAAGUGAGGCAAGAUGUGCAGCCACCAAAAUCUAAAAAGGUUGAACUGAAAAGGGGCACAUUUUGAGUCAGCUAUUUUUUAGAGAGAGAGAGAGCAGGGCAUGAAUUCAGCAAGCAUAUGGGGAGAGUGUGUUACAUAUUUCGGGAGGUGUGCUACACUCCCCAGAAACUUGGAGAACAGUAGCACA